UACGAAGGGGGCUAGCGUUGCUCGGAAUUACUGGGCGUAAAGCGCACGUAGGCGGCUUUCUAAGUCGGGGGUGAAAUCCUGGAGCUCAACUCCAGAACUGCCUUCGAUACUGGAGAGCUUGAGUCCGGGAGAGGUGAGUGGAACUGCGAGUGUAGAGGUGAAAUUCGUAGAUAUUCGCAAGAACACCAGUGGCGAAGGCGGCUCACUGGCCCGGUACUGACGCUGAGGUGCGAAAGCGUGGGGAGCAAACGGG
rnacentral:rRNA from 1 species